rnacentral:rRNA from 1 species
GACGAACGCUGGCGGCGUGCUUAACACAUGCAAGUCGAACGAUGAAGCCGGAGCUUGCUCUGGUGAAUUAGUGGCGAACGGGUGAGUAACACGUGAGUAACCUGCCCUUGACUCUGGGAUAACUGCGGGAAACUGUAGCUAAUACCGGAUACGACCCUCGGAGGCAUCUCCUGGGGGUGGAAAGAAUUUCGGUCAAGGAUGGACUCGCGGCCUAUCAGCCAGUUGGUGAGGUAAAGGCUCACCAAGGCGACGACGGGUAGCCGGCCUGAGAGGGUGACCGGCCACGCUGGGACUGAGACACGGCCCAGACUCCUACGGGAGGCAGCAGUGGGGAAUAUUGCACAAUGCGCGCAAGCCUGAUGCAGCAACGCCGCGUGAGGGAUGACGGCCUUCGGGUUGUAAACCUCUUUUAGCAGGGAAGAAGCGAAAGUGACGGUACCUGCAGAAAAAGCACCGGCUAACUACGUGCCAGCCGCCGCCGUAA